rnacentral:rRNA from 1 species
CCUACGGGUGGCAGCAGUGGGGAAUAUUGGGCAAUGGGCGCAAGCCUGACCCAGCAACGCCGCGUGAAGGAAGAAGGCUUUCAGGAUGUAAACUUCUUUUGUCAGGGACGAAACAAGUGACGGUACCUGACGAAUAAGCCACUGCUAACUACGUGCCAGCAGCCACGGUGAUACGUAGGUGGCGAGCGUUCUCCGGAUUUAUUGGGUGUAAGGGGCGUGUAGGCGGGAAUGCAAGUCAGAUGUGAAAACUAUGGGCUAAACCCAUAGCCUGCCUUUGAAACUGGAUUUCUUGAGUGCUGGAGAGGCAAUCGGAAUGCGGGGUGUAGCGGUGAAAUGCGUAGAUAUACGGAGGAACACCAGUGGCGAAGGCGGAUUGCUGGACAGUAACUGACGCUGAGGCGCGAAAGCGUGGGGAGCAAACAGGAUUAGAUACCCCUGUAGUC